GACGAACGCUGGCGGCGUGCUUAACACAUGCAAGUCGAACGGAAAGGCCCUGCUUGCAGGGUACUCGAGUGGCGAACGGGUGAGUAACACGUGGGUGAUCUGCCCUGCACUUCGGGAUAAGCCUGGGAAACUGGGUCUAAUACCGGAUAGGAGCCAUUUUUAGUGUGAUGGUUGGAAAGUUUUUUCGGUGUAGGAUGAGCUCGCGGCCUAUCAGCUUGUUGGUGGGGUAAUGGCCUACCAAGGCGGCGACGGGUAGCCGGCCUGAGAGGGUGGACUGCCACAUUGGGACUGAGAUACGGCCCAGACUCCUACGGGAGGCAGCAGUGGGGAAUAGUGCACAAUGGGCGCAAGCCUGAUGCAGCGACGCCGCGGGGGGGAUGACGGCCUUCGGGUUGUAAACUCCUUUCGCUAGGGACGAAGCUUUUUGUGACGGUACCUAGAUAAGAAGCACCGGCUAACUACGUG
rnacentral:rRNA from 1 species